rnacentral:rRNA from 1 species
UACGUAGGGUGCGAGCGUUAAUCGGAAUUACUGGGCGUAAAGCGUGCGCAGGCGGUUAUUUAAGUCAGGUGUGAAAGCCCUGGGCUUAACCUAGGAAUUGCGCUUGAGACUGGAUAGCUUGGAGUGCGGCAGAGGGAGGUGGAAUUCCACGUGUAGCAGUGAAAAUGCGUAGAGAUGUGGAGGAACACCGAUGGCGAAGGCAGCCUCCUGGGCCAGCACUGACGCUCAUGCACGAAAGCGUGGGGAGCAAACAGG